rnacentral:rRNA from 1 species
AUGCAUGCACCGUCAGGACCCGUCCCACACUGUGUUACCUCAUCAUUCAUCAGAUCUGGGAAAGCCUUUGCUGGCUCCUCGGCUCUGCUAGCUUCUUGGGGGCACCUCAAUCUCAGCAAGUUGCUCUUGCUCCACCAACCAUGGCGCUCGUGUCUCGUCUCGUCUCAGCAAGCACGGCAAGGGCGACAUUUGGAGGCGGUCGCUUGCCGACGUGCUAGCUUCUUGGUGAUCUUUCCUGGGAGCUCCUUGGUGUUGGAUCUGACGGCAAGGGUGCCUUACUCAGCUAUGCUUCUUGUACUAAGUUUUCUUCCUAAAAGAUCCACACAUUAA